CCAAUAGCGUAUAUUAAAGUUGCUGCAGUUAAAAAGCUCGUAGUUGAAUUUCGGGAUCAAUGUGUUGGUCGUGCCUCGGUACGUACUAGCUUAUUGGUUUCUUCCUUCUGACGAACCAUAAUGUCAUUUAUUUGGUGUUAUGGGGAAUCAGGACUGUUACUUUGAAAAAAUUAGAGUGUUUAAAGCAGGCUCACGCUUGAAUACAUUAGCAUGGAAUAAUGAAAUAGGACGUUUGAUUCUAUUUUGUUGGUUUCUAGGAUCGACGUAAUGAUUAAUAGGGAUAGUUGGGGGCAUUAGUAUUCAAUUGUCAGAGGUGAAAUUCUUGGAUUUAUUGAAGACUAACUACUGCGAAAGCAUUUGCCAAGGAUGUUUUCAUUAAUCAAGAACGAAAGUUAGGGGAUCGAAGACGAUCAGAUACCGUCGUAGUCUUAACCAUAAACUAUGCCGACUAGGGAUCGGAUGAUGUUAAUUUUUUAAUGACUCAUUCGGCGCCUUACGGGAAACCAAAGUGUUGGGUUC
rnacentral:misc_RNA from 1 species